AGGGAAACUUGGUCUUGAAAAAAAAAAAAAAAAAAAGAAUUCUGUUUGACUAUAUAUGUGCAUUUUUAGUUUUUGGCUAACUGUGGCUCAAAAUAGACUGCAGUGCAUUUUGUUUGUUAGCAACACUGGUGGAAAAAAAUGUUACUCUCUGACUCAGACACACACACAGAUCAAUUUUAAGCAACAUUACUCCUUAAAUGAAGCAUACAAAAUGAAAAUAGUCUCAUUUUUAAAAUGUGUAUGUUCAAUUUUAUUUCUCUCUUAAAAUACUAUUUCCAAAAUCUAACCCUAAGAAAAUAGUAAAAUUCAUAAUAAUAUUUAAAUAUUUUAUAUAUGACCUUUACCUUUAUUCCAGUAAUUAAACAUAUUUCCAAGAUAUUUAAGUUCAAUUUUAAGGAACUAGCAUUCAGUACAUGUUAAAUUUUAGCAGUUGACAAAUGUCAAUGAUAACAUUUGUGCUCAUAAAAAAAGGUUCAUGAAUCAAUAAUGAGGGUUUCUAUUUUAAUUUUUAUUAAAAAAUUUAAAAUCCUGAGGUUGCUCCUGAAUGUUAGAGGUGAUUAUAACAAUUUUGCUUUGUAAAUACAAUUACAGGUAUUUUUGCAGUUUUUGCAUAAUGAUAAUUUAAAAACUUAUUUUAAAGGCUGCUUAAAAGUUAAUUUUCACCAGGUGCAUAAUGAAGCCUCUAAUUAGGCCUCCUUCAGAGGAGGUUUGAUUGUGAAAAUACACAGCAGCAUUUCCUGAGAUAAAAGUUCCUGCUAAAAUGGGAUUUGGGUUUUUAACUUUAGUUUGCUAAUGGUUCUUGAAAUGUGAGAAAAAAAGUCGUUCAGAAAUAUUUACAAAACAAAUGCAUAAUUAUUGAUUUUAUUGAGAAUAUAGAAGACAUUUUCAUACCAUGUGUUUGGGAAAUGAAAUCCCGUAGUCUGUUGCCAGAAAUAAAACUAUUAAAAAUAUAAGAAAUACUCUCAAUAAUCCCAGUACAUAAUUUCUGGUUUAUCCCAUUGUUCUGUCAGCUUGUAAACGAGAGUCGUUUCUGUCACAGGAUACUUUGGGUGUCACUUCUUGCCAGCCAGAAACCUGUGUGGCUGGUGGUGCCUCUGCUUGAGUUUUGUUCGCACCUGCAGAGCUUGUUGCCCCAACUCGGACCAGUAGCUUGCAUUUGGCUCCCGCUAACAGCCCGGAACCCAGGCCUGGAACAUAGACCAAGGCUUAGGAUAUAAAAGGUGCCAAUAAAUAUUUCUCAAAUGA